GCUUAACACAUGCAAGUCGAACGAUGAAACCGCUUCGGUGGUGGAUUAGUGGCGAACGGGUGAGUAACACGUGGGCAAUCUGCCCUUCACUCUGGGACAAGCCCUGGAAACGGGGUCUAAUACCGGAUACCACUUCGUCCCGCAUGGGACGGGGUUGAAAGCUCCGGCGGUGAAGGAUGAGCCCGCGGCCUAUCAGCUUGUUGGUGGGGUAAUGGCCUACCAAGGCGACGACGGGUAGCCGGCCUGAGAGGGCGACCGGCCACACUGGGACUGAGACACGGCCCAGACUCCUACGGGAGGCAGCAGUGGGGAAUAUUGCACAAUGGGCGAAAGCCUGAUGCAGCGACGCCGCGUGAGGGAUGACGGCCUUCGGGUUGUAAACCUCUUUCAGCAGGGAAGAAGCGCAAGUGACGGUACCUGCAGAAGAAGCGCCGGCUAACUACGUGCCAGCAGCCGCGGUAAUACGUAGGGCGCAAGCGUUGUCCGGAAUUAUUGGGCGUAAAGAGCUCGUAGGCGGCUUGUCACGUCGGAUGUGAAAGCCCGGGGCUUAACCCCGGGUCUGCAUUCGAUACGGGCUAGCUAGAGUGUGGUAGGGGAGAUCGGAAUUCCUGGUGUAGCGGUGAAAUGCGCAGAUAUCAGGAGGAACACCGGUGGCGAAGGCGGAUCUCUGGGCCAUUACUGACGCUGAGGAGCGAAAGCGUGGGGAGCGAACAGGAUUAGAUACCCUGGUAGUCCACGCCGUAAACGUUGGGAACUAGGUGUUGGCGACAUUCCACGUCGUCGGUGCCGCAGCUAACGCAUUAAGUUCCCCGCCUGGGGAGUACGGCCGCAAGGCUAAAACUCAAAGGAAUUGACGGGGGCCCGCACAAGCAGCGGAGCAUGUGUCUUAAUUUCGACGCAACGCGAAAGAACCUUACCAAGGCUUGACAUUAUACCGGAAAAGCAUCAGAGAUGGUGCCCCCCUUUGUGGUCGGGUAUAACAGGGUGGUGCAUGGACUGUCGUCAGCUCGUGUCGUGAGAUGUUGGGUUAAGUCCCGCAACGAGCGCAACCCUUGUUCUGUGUUGCCAGCAUGCCCUUCGGGGUGAUGGGGACUCACAGGAGACUGCCGGGGUCAACUCGGAGGAAGGUGGGGACGACGUCAAGUCAUCAUGCCCCUUAUGUCUUGGGCUGCACACGUGCUACAAUGGCCGGUACAAUGAGCUGCGAUGCCGCGAGGCGGAGCGAAUCUCAAAAAGCCGGUCUCAGUUCGGAUUGGGGUCUGCAACUCGACCCCAUGAAGUCGGAGUUGCUAGUAAUCGCAGAUCAGCAUUGCUGC
rnacentral:rRNA from 1 species